rnacentral:lncRNA from 1 species
CCUCAAAAUAUUAUAUUCAUAACAAAUAGGGCCUACGAGACCCGAUACUUACUUAUGUAAUUCAAAGCUCCAUUUCCAUUUUAUUCAAUUCACAAUAUUUCGUGUUCACAAUUCAAAUUAAUUUCUCAAUCCAAUAUAUAUAUUUCAAUACCACACUCUCAUACUAUGAAACUUUAUUUUCCCAUAUGAGCUUAAACCAUGAUCAUCACAUAUCAAAGACAAAUGUUCUUGACAUUUCCAUGACAUAAACCGAAUUAAUCAAUGCAACUCAAUGAUAUAAUCAUCCAUAUAUCAUUAUUAUCAUAUAUAUAUAUCAAAACUAAAUUUCUUAUACAUUUGGUCAAUUGCUUUUCAAAACCGCAAUAGUUCCUUCGGUACCAAUACGUAUUUACCAUUCAAUUUAACAUUUACCGAUUAUAAUCGGGCAUAUGACCAUUAUACACAAUUAUUUCCUACAUUUUAUUGUCCUCCUCCUCCUCUCCAUUCCACAUCCUUUAUGUGUAUAUCACAUUUAAACAACAUUAACUAUAAUUUCUCUAUUCACUAACAUGUAUAUUCAAAGCUGUCUAUUCGAGUCAUAGUCACUAAAUUAUUUUUACCCGGAACUACAGAACUCCAAAUUAAGAUCCGUAAAUUUAUCCGAAACUAGAUUCACAUAUAUUCUUACCAUAAAAUUUUCAUAAUUUUUGGUUUAGCCAAAUAGUACAGUUUAUUCUUUAAAGUUUCCCCUGUUUCACUGUUUGACAGUUCUGACCUCUCUUCACUAAAAAUUAAUUAUCUCACUGUACAGAAUUCGGAUAUAGUUUCCGUUUGUUUCUCAUAAAAAUAGAUUCACUUAUAAUUCUAAACAUAUAAACUUUAUCCCAUAAUUAUUUUUGUACAAUUUUUUACAAUUUUCCAAAGUCAAAACAGGGGAUUCCAAACUCAUUCUGACUCUGUCUAAUUAAACUUCAAAUAUCUCAAAAUAUAUAACUCUUUUGCUUUUUCUAUUUCUUUUAUGUGAAAAUAGACUCAUUAAGCUUCAAUUUCAUAUAUUAUUCAGCCUCUAAUUAAAUUUCCACCAUUUUUGGUGAUUUUUCAAAGUCACACAACUGUUGCUGUCUAAACUGUUUUGUUGCUAAAUGUACUCUUUCAUAAUUUCACUUUUUCACUUUCAAUCACAAUUCAAUUCAAAAUUCACUUUUCCAUUUCUAAGUCGAUAUUCAAUUCAGUUCCACACCUAUAUUCAUUAUUCAAUUACACUUAGUCAAUUUCCCGUUGAACACUCGGAAUAUACAUAGAUACGUAGAGAAUUAGCACAUAAGUGCCACACUGAUAUGUAGCCGAAGCUACCACUGAUACGUAGCCGAAGCUACCACUGAUACGUAGCCGAAGCUACCACUGAUAUGUAGCCGAAGCUACCACUGAUACGUAGCCGAAGCUACCACUGAUCAAUAACAUUGGAAAUGUCCACGGGCCUGCUCACAUAAGCUGUCAGGUGUCUACAACACAUGCUAGAUCACCCAGCACCCGGGACUCACUGUAACACUGUAACACUGAUCUCUAGUGACAUGUCACUUGUAUCCACUUCUAUUCCUAAGUUCAACCGGGAAUUUACACUUAACACUUUAUUUUAAACACUUUAUCACUUGAAUAAUUCAUGAACAAUUUUCCUUCCACAUUCAAUAUUAAUUCACAUAUCAAAUAUAAUUCACAAUUUAUAAAAAUAUAACUAUUAUUUACACGUAACUUACUUUGAUGCAAUAAUAUAAAAAUUUAGCAAUUUAGUCUUUAAUCUUUCCUUUUCUCCGGUCAAGGUCGAUUCCACUUCUUUCUUGAUCUAUAAUAACACAUUUGACUUAUUUAGUACUCACAUUUAUCAAAACAGUCCUUGACUCAAACUUUGGUAAAAUUUUAAUUUUGCCCCUAAACUUUUACAUAUUUACACUUUUGCCCCAAAGCUCGUAAAUUAAACUUCAUCCCUUAUUCUUAUGUAUUAUGACAUGUUGAACAUUUUUCCCUUCUAUAGAAACAUCAAAUUCCAACUCUAACACUUACUUAUGAACAUUUAGUAUUUUUAUCGAUUAUGUCGUUUUACUCGUUUUCACUCAAAAUCGCUUAGCAAAAGUUGCUUAACAUAAUUCUAAGCUUCAUAUUCUAUCAUGAAACAUCAAAAUUCACACUUUUCAUCUAUGGGUAAUUGUUUAGACAUAAAUUCUAGCUCGAAUUAAUGGUAGAGAUAGCUUAAGCAAGUUAUCGGGAUGCGAAAAAUACAAAGAACAAGAAAAACGGGGCUAGAACGGACUUACCAUGAAGCUUGGAAGAUGAACAAACCCUAGCCAUGGUGUUCCCUUGCUACAUACGGCCAUGAAGAAAAGAAU